rnacentral:rRNA from 1 species
UACAGAGGGGGCGAGCGUUGUUCGGAUUUACUGGGCGUAAAGGGCGCGUAGGCGGCGUGUUAAGUCAGCUGUGAAAUCUCCAAGCUUAACUUGGAACGGUCAGCUGAUACUGAUGUGCUAGAGUGCAGAAGGGGCAAUCGGAAUUCUUGGUGUAGCGGUGAAAUGCGUAGAUAUCAAGAGGAACACCUGAGGUGAAGACGGGUUGCUGGGCUGACACUGACGCUGAGGCGCGAAAGCUAGGGUAGCAAACGGG